rnacentral:tRNA from 1 species
AGGAGUUUAGGCUAACAAAGACCGAGGGCCUUCAAAGCCCUAAGUAAGUAUUCAUACUUAACUCCUG